rnacentral:lncRNA from 10 species
ACACAGAGCCGCCUUUCAGCCGCCCGAGAACUGCCCGCCGCACUCCACGACUGCGGCGCCUGCUCUCGGGCCGGGGUCUGCGCGCACCACGCGGCCGGCAGAAAGGGUAAGAGAAGGGAACCCCGCUUUGCAGGGCUCCAACUUCGGCGGACGCGUUACGGCGAGGGCGAAAUGAGUCGGCCGUGAACGGUGUUUCCUGUUCCGAAUCCCGAGAGCCCUGGAAAGUUUUGAAGGAGGAGGCAUGGCCCGGCAGCCUUAUCGUUUUCCCCAGGCAAGGAUUCCGGAGAGAGGAUCAGGUGUUUUCAGGUUAACCGUCAGGUUGGAGUCCAGUGGCACAUUCUCAGCUCACUGCAACCUCUGCCUCCUGGGUUCCAAGUGAUUCUUGUGCCUCAGCCUCCCGAGUAGCUGGGGUUACAGAAAUGCAAUGGCACAUCGUGAUUCUGAGAUGAAAGAAGAAUGUCUAAGGGAAGACCUGAAGUUUUACUUCAUGAGCCCUUGUGAAAAAUACCGAGCCAGACGCCAGAUUCCGUGGAAACUGGGUUUGCAGAUUUUGAAGAUAGUCAUGGUCACCACACAG